rnacentral:rRNA from 1 species
CAGCAGCCACGGUAAUACGUAGGUCCCGAGCGUUGUCCGGAUUUAUUGGGCGUAAAGCGAGCGCAGGCGGUUAGAUAAGUCUGAAGUUAAAGGCUGUGGCUUAACCAUAGUACGCUUUGGAAACUGGGAAACUUGAGUGCAGAAGAGGAGAGUGGAAUUCCACGUGUAGCGGUGAAAUGCGUAGAGAUGUGGAGGAGCACCAGUGGCGAAGGCGACUCUCUGGGCCAAUACUGACGCUCAUGCACGAAAGCGUGGGGAGCAAACAGGAUUAGAUACCCCAGUAGUCCCUGUCUCUUAUACA